rnacentral:lncRNA from 1 species
UGAUGUUCAUUCAGCAUGCAAGGUAUCCAUUAGCCCCAUUAGCUUACAUCUCUCAGCCAUUAAAACUGAAUUACAGCUCUCGUAUCCUACUUGGAUGGGUUUUCAAUUACAUCAGCCAUCUUCAAUAUUAUACCACGAAUUUAAUUAAUGAUGCGAACACACAAUUUAAGAACGUUGCACACAUGCCACGCAUACAGCUUCACUUAAACAUCCGUAUUCCAAAACUGAAAUGUCAAUUCAUCAUGUAGCACAGGUUUCAUUUUUAACAGGUUUCAUUUGAACAUGCCUUAUGGUUAAAAUUUUGUAUCAAUUCCUUUUAAAAAUAGCAGACAAUGAGUUAUUUCUCUUUA